rnacentral:rRNA from 1 species
GACGAACGCUGGCGGCGUGCUUAACACAUGCAAGUCGAACGCUGAAGCACCAGCUUGCUGGUGUGGAUGAGUGGCGAACGGGUGAGUAAUACGUGAGUAACCUGCCCUUGACUCUGGGAUAAGCCCGGGAAACUGGGUCUAAUACUGGAUGCUACAUGUCACCGCAUGGUGGUGUGUGGAAAGGGUUUACUGGUCUUGGAUGGGCUCGCGGCCUAUCAGCUUGUUGGUGAGGUAAUGGCUCACCAAGGCGACGACGGGUAGCCGGCCUGAGGGGGUGACCGGCCACACUGGGACUGGGACACGGCCCAGACUCCUACGGGAGGCAGCAGUGGGGAAUAUUGCACAAUGGGCGAAAGCCUGAUGCAGCGACGCCGCGUGAGGGAUGACGGCCUUCGGGUUGUAAACCUCUUUCAGCAGGGAAGAAGCCACAAGUGACGGUACCUGCAGAAGAAGCGCCGGCUAACUACGUGCCAGCCGCCGCCGUAA